AAGUAUUUAUUUAAAUGUUUAUUUAAAUAUUUUUAAACAAAUAAUAACGUCAAACUUGUUCAUACAACAAAUGUAUAUACGGUGGCUUUUUAAAUUUUGAUUUUAAAAGUGUCAA